UUUCCUCUUCGCGUUCUCGCCAUGGCUCCGCUUUGCUGCGUCUGUUCAACCCUUUCCAAGAUCCUCGGAGCUCCUACUCAGUCCUUCUCUCUUUCUGUGUGUGUCCUGUGAUUCUCGGAGUUUCUGUAGCGCCAUCGGUUUUCGGACAGCCGGCCAGUGUGCGUCCUGCGGCCCCAGUCUUCUUCUCGGUCGGUGCGUGCUGUCGGUCUCGCCGCUCUUGGCAGCGUCGCUGGGUCCGUCGGCUUAACCCUGUUUCCUCAUGCAUUGUGUACUUUUUGUUUGUCUUGACUGUUGGGUGGGUGGCGUACUAGGUUGGUGCUGUUCAAAUAAUCAAGAUCCAAAGGGACAACUACAGGUCGAACAGCUCGCCAGCGGGGGUCCUCUGCAAAAUCUGUUGCUUGCAGGUUCCGUUUGAUUGAUGCACAGUUUUGCGGGGCUCCCGACUGGUGUUAACCCUCCUGGCCUACUCGUCAUGCAUUCAACUGUUGUGACCCCACCUCUUUUGUGUUUUAUUGUCGCCUGUUUAUGUUGCUUCAUAUUUCAUUUCCCCUGUCUUUCUGUCUUCUUCCGUUUUUUAUACACUUCACUUUUGCUUCCAUCCACAGGAGUGGAUGUCUUUUUUUGGUAGGGGAUAGUGUUGUACCUGCGCCUGCACGUGUUAUCUCUUCGUCGUAGCUGCUGCUGUAUUUGUGUCUCUGUGUGUACAUGUGGCUGCACGUGUUGUCUCUUCGUCGUAGCUGCUGCUGUAUUUGUGUCUCUGUGCUGCUGACCCGUAGAUCUACAUGCUGCUGCGCUGCUUUGUUGCUGACCCGUACAUGCUGCUGCGCUGCUUUGUUGUUGACACGUGCACCUUUUUGUGCUGAGUACACCACCUUUUGUGCUGACGAGGGCACCAAUUUCUGAUAUCAUGUUUUCCUUUUGCCAUGUCGUCGUCAGUUGUCCGACGGUCGUCGUGAGUUGUCAGACGUUCGUUGUCAGAGUCAGUUGUCCGACGUUCGUCGUCAGUUGUCAGUCAUUCGUUGUCAGAGUCAGACGUUUGUUGACAGUCGUCAGUCAUUCGUUGUCAGUGUUAGUUCUCCAUUAUGAGUUCUUCCGUCGCCGCUUGAAGUAAACUAUGAAAAGCUCUCUCUCUAGCUCUAGAGAAAAACCA